ACGAAGGGGGCUAGCGUUGCUCGGAAUUACUGGGCGUAAAGGGCGCGUAGGCGGACAUUUAAGUCAGAGGUGAAAGCCCAGGGCUCAACCUUGGAAUUGCCUUUGUGACUGCAAGGCUGGAGUGCGGCAGAGGGGGAUGGAAUUCCGCGUGUAGCAGUGAAAUGCGUAGAUAUGCGGAGGAACACCGAUGGCGAAGGCAAUCCCCUGGGCCUGCACUGACGCUCAUGCACGAAAGCGUGGGGAGCAAACAGGA
rnacentral:rRNA from 1 species